rnacentral:rRNA from 1 species
GAUGAACGCUAGCGGCAGGCUUAAUACAUGCAAGUCGAGGGGCAGCAUGAAUGUAGCAAUACAUUUGAUGGCGACCGGCAAACGGGUGCGGAACACGUACACAACCUUCCUAUAAGUGGGGAAUAGCCCAGAGAAAUUUGGAUUAAUACCCCGUAACAUAAUGAUGUGGCAUCACAUUAUUAUUAUAGCUACGGCGCUUAUUGAUGGGUGUGCGGCUGAUUAGAUAGUUGGCGGGGUAACGGCCCACCAAGUCUACGAUCAGUAGCUGAUGUGAGAGCAUGAUCAGCCACACGGGCACUGAGACACGGGCCCGACUCCUACGGGAGGCAGCAGUAAGGAAUAUUGGUCAAUGGACGCAAGUCUGAACCAGCCAUGCCGCGUGAAGAAUUAAGGUCCUCUGGAUUGUAAACUUCUUUUAUCUGGGACGAAAAAAGGCGAUUCUUCGUCACUUGACGGUACCAGAUGAAUAAGCACCGGCUAACUCCGUGCCAGCAGCCGCGGUAACAC